CUGGGGAUGUAGCUCAGUGGUAGAGCACUUACGCCGCAUGAGCAAGAGCCUGGGUUCAAUCCCCAGCCAAUAGA
rnacentral:tRNA from 1 species